GGGUGCGAGUCUGUUGUUUCAUUUGACUUUUAACCUAGAAGAAGACCGAGAGACGGGAGUAGGCAAGAAGGAAUCGGGGCGAGAGAGGAAUGUCGAGUUGGUUAGAAAGGCAUGGUUUGUCAUCUGAUUUAUUGGGUGCCUGGUGGAGAUAGACAUGCAAACCAAAUGACAAGGCAGGACAUUUCUCUGCAUCCGGGUUGAGGCUUGCUACCAGCAGGAAUAUGGAGCACUCUGUCAGUGCAACAGAGAUAGAAUAUUCCAAGGACCUCCUGACCAGCUACCUGUGACCUCUUCAGAGAAAAAGAGAAGUGAGUCUGCUGGGCUAUGGAACUCUAGAGCAGCACAUCAACAAACCUGCCGCCCCUGUUGUCAGAUGUCUGCAGACUGUUCCCUGAGGAAGGAGGCAAAUAUCAAGCCUUUCAAUGCCACAUUUUGGGGAUGACCAAAUGCAAUUAAGUUUUGUAUGAACAACUCAUUUUCAGUUUUUUUUUAUGGUAAUAUUACAAAAUAAUACAUAGCAUGUUGAUCUUCAAAUUGUCUCUAACUUCUGUGGUAGCUUAAACUUAAAAUUAAAUGUAUGAUUUAAAAGGCGUAAAAUAAAUGCAAGUCUCAUGUCCAGGGUGAAUAAACUGUAUAUGUUUACAUA